UACCGUUGGAAUGUGCGUUUUCGUUGC
rnacentral:sRNA from 1 species